GUAGUCAUAGCCGAGUGGUUAAGGCGAUGGAUUCGGAAUCCCUUGGCGUUUCACCACGUAGGUCCGAAUCCUGCUGACUACG